rnacentral:rRNA from 1 species
GACGAACGCUGGCGGCAUGCCUAAUACAUGCAAGUCGAGCGAACAGAUGAAGUGCUUGCACUUCUGACGUUAGCGGCGAACGGGUGAGUAACACGUAAGGAAUCUACCUAUAAGCGGGGGAUAACAUUCGGAAACGGGUGCUAAUACCGCAUAAUAUCUUCUUCCGCAUGGAAGAAGAUUGAAAGACGGCUCUGCUGUCACUUAUAGAUGACCUUGCGGUGCAUUAGUUAGUUGGUGGGGUAACGGCCUACCAAGACGAUGAUGCAUAGCCGACCUGAGAGGGUGAGCGGCCACAUUGGGACUGAGACACGGCCCAAACUCCGAUGGGAAGCAGCAGUAGGGAAUCUUCCGCAAUGGGCGAAAGCCUGACGGAGCAAUGCCGCGUGAGUGAAGAAGGCCUUCGGGUCGUAAAACUCUGUUAUAAGAGAAGAACAAAUUGUAGAGUAACUGCUACAGUCUUGACGGUAUCUUAUCAGAAAGCCACGGCUAACUACGUGCCAGCCGCCGCGGUAA